rnacentral:tRNA from 1 species
GCCGGGGUAGCUCAGCUGGUUAGAGUGCUCGACUCAUAGGUGAGAAUCCGAUGAGUUAUGAGGCAGAAGCCGAUGAUAUCAACGCACUCAACUGAGAAAUCGAGAGGUCGGGGAUUCAAGUUCCCCCCUCGGCA